rnacentral:lncRNA from 1 species
UUUUUUUUUUUUUUUUUUUUUUUUUUUGUUUUUUCUUUCUUUCUUUCUUUCUUUUUCCUUUUCCUUUCCUUUUUCCUUUUUCUUUUCAGUUUUCUCGGUCCAGGCCCAGAGGGGCUCUUCGUUUUUUACCCUAAUUAUGUCCUUUAAAUGCUGCAUUAAUUACUGUGCAUGUCAGAGGGAGAGAGAGAGGGCAGAGGUGAAUACGAACAGUCAGAAUACCAACAGCCAAGCCACCACUAGCCACCACGAGCCACCACUCAACAGCCCCUUUCCUCCUCCGCGAACCACCACCAUCGGCCUAGCCACCACUCAACCGCCACUCUCCCCCUCCGCGAACCACCACCAUCGGCCUAGAGCCACCACUCAGAGCCACCACGAGCCACCACUCAGAGCCACCACUCAGCGCCACCCUCCCCCUCCGUGAACCACCAACACAAGAAAAAACCAAAAUCAUCUUGCUCAUACUAUUCAUUUCCUUCCCUAGAAAUCGAAACGUUAGAACAGAAACCCACGCGAACACAGUAACCCACUCACUCACGCGGCCUAAAGCCUACACCAACCACCACCAUCAGCCGACACCCACAACCCAAACUGUAACCGUUUCCACUCUGAAGCUUAAACGAUAACAUAAGAACAAAGGUAGUUCACUUUUUUUCUAAGAUUCAAGGCUAGAUCUAGGCUUUAUCAGUAUUGGUUUUCAAAAAAUAACGGUGGAUUUGAGAACUAGGGAAAAAAAGGAAUUCAAAACAUGUAGUUUUUUUAAAAAAGGAGGAGUUUCUUUUUCCGACGCGGCGGCGCCGCCACCCAUGGCCGGCCAGCCACUGCGCCGGUAAACA